rnacentral:rRNA from 1 species
UAUAUAAGAGGUACAUCCUGCCCAGUGACUUACGAGUUCAACGGCCGCGGUACCCUGACCGUGCUAAGGUAGCAUAUAAUAUGCCCUUUAAUUGGGGGCUAGAAUGAACGGACACACGAAAGCACUACUGUCUCUAUAAUAACCCCCUUAAAUUAGUCUUUAGGUGAAGAAACCUAAAUAAACUAAAAAGACAAGAAGACCCUGUAGAGCUUUGCUUACAAAAUUAACUGAAAAAAUAUUUUAUAUAUUUCUCUAUUUAAUCAUCAAUAAGCUUGACUGGGGCGGUCGGAGAGCACAAAACCCUCUCUCAAUACCAAGGCAAAUACGCCACAUACACUUGAUCCCUUAUCGAUCAACAAAAAUAGCUACCUCAGGGAUAACAGACUAAUCUCUUCCGAGAGCACCCAUUGAAGAAGAGGUUUGGCACCUCGAUGUUGGCUUAGAGUACCCCAGGGAUUGCAGAAGCUCCUAAAGGUAGGUUUGUUCAACCUUUAAAACUCUACGUGAUC